rnacentral:rRNA from 1 species
AUUGAACGCUGGCGGCAGGCCUAACACAUGCAAGUCGAACGAGUGGCGGACGGGUGAGUAAUGUCUGGGAAACUGCCUGAUGGAGGGGGAUAACUACUGGAACCGGUAGCUAAUACCGCAUACCAUCGGAUGUGCCCAGAUGGGAUUAGCUAGGCGGUGGGGAAAAGGCUAACCUAGUCGACGAUCCCUAGCUGGUCUGAGAGGAUGACCAGCCACACUGGAACUGAGACACGGUCCAGACUCCUACGGGAUGCAGCAGUGGGGAAUAUGGCACAAUGGGCGAAAGCCUGAUGCAGCCAUGCCGCGUGUAUGAAGAAGGCCUUCGGGUUGUAAAGUACUUUCAGCGGGGAGGCGUUACCCGCAGAAUAAGCACCGGCUAACUCCGUGCCAGCAGCCGCGGUAAUUC